rnacentral:rRNA from 1 species
UACAGAGGGUGCGAGCGUUAAUCGGAAUUACUGGGCGUAAAGCGCACGUAGGUGGCUGUGUAAGUCGGGUGUGAAAUCCCCGGGCUCAACCUGGGAACUGCAUCCGAGACUGGAAGGCUAGAGUACUGGAGAGGGUGGUGGAAUUCCUCGUGUAGCGGUGAAAUGCGUAGAGAUGAGGAGGAACACCAGUGGCGAAGGCGGCCACCUGGACAGUAACUGACGCUGAGGCGCGAAAGCGUGGGUAGCAAACGGG